GUUGUAUAGUUAAGUGACUAAGCGUACAAGGUGGAUGCCUUGGCAAUCAGAGGCGAAGAAGGACGUGCUAAUCUGCGAAAAGCUUGGAUGAGUCGAUAAGAGGCGUUUAAUCCAAGAUAUCCGAAUGGGGAAACCCAGUAGAUGAAGAAUCUACUAUCAACAAGUGAAUUCAUAGCUUGUUGAGGCAAACCGGGAGAACUGAAACAUCUAAGUACCCCGAGGAAAAGAAAUCAACCGAGAUUUCGUCAGUAGCGGCGAGCGAAAGCGAAAGAGCCAGUAAGUGAUAACAGUAUGGUUAGGAGAAUGUGUUGGGAAGCACAAUCAAAGAGGGUGAUAAUCCCGUAUCUAAAAACCAUAUUGUGGUACUAAGCUAACGAGAAGUAGGGCGGGACACGUGAUAUCCUGUUUGAAGAAGGGGGGACCAUCCUCCAAGGCUAAAUACUCCUGAUUGACCGAUAGUGAACCAGUACUGUGAAGGAAAGGCGAAAAGAACCCCGGUGAGGGGAGUGAAAUAGAACCUGAAACCUUGUACGUACAAGCAGUGGGAGC
rnacentral:rRNA from 1 species